rnacentral:rRNA from 1 species
CAGCAGUAGGGAAUUUUCGUCAAUGGGCGCAAGCCUGAACGAGCAAUGCCGCGUGAACGAGGAAGGUCUUCGGAUCGUAAAGUUCUGUUGAAGGGGAAAAAGAGCGGAGAGAGGAAAUGAUCUCUGAUUGAUAUUACCCUUCGAGGAAGUCACGGCUAACUACGUGCCAGCAGCCGCGGUAAUACGUAGGUGGCGAGCGUUAUCCGGAAUGAUUGGGCGUAAAGGGUGCGUAGGCGGCCUGCUAAGUCUGGAGUGAAAGGUACCGGCUCAACCGGUACAGGCUCUGGAAACUGGCGGGCUAGAGAGCAGGAGAGGGCGGUGGAACUCCAUGUGUAGCGGUAAAAUGCGUAGAUAUAUGGAAGAACACCAGUGGCGAAGGCGGCCGCCUGGCCUGUUGACUGACGCUGAGGCACGAAAGCGUGGGGAGCAAAUAGGAUUAGA